UGUGCAUCUUGCAGAGUAUCUCAAAUCGUCUCCUUCAAUCUUGUGCCUCGCCUAAUUGCGUUACUUCUACCUUUCGAAAUGUUGUGUGUAUUAAAUAUUUGUCUUUGUCUGCAGCCCUCCGCUAGCUCUCUUGUUUUGUUUUUGAGACUGGCGAAUUAGGAUUUGACUCGAGAUCUGUUUCUGCGAUAGUUUGUACACCUAUUCAGUGCCGGCCUCUGACGGUUCUCAAUUCAAAUCAGACUUCUGUUGAAAGGUCUCCUUUCUAUCGUAACGUGAAGGGGAAGGGAAGGGGUGUAUGUGGGUCGACAGCCUGAUGUCACUUUUUUUCUCUCAUCCUGUGAAAUGGACAGCAUCAGAUAUUGUUCGGGGCUGCCCAAUCUGGCACUGACGUGUAUAAUUCUGUGACUUGGAUAAUGAUGAGACCAACAUUUUUCCAACACUUGGACUGAUCUCCAUGAUGUACAAACAUGCUGCGUUCUUUCUGAAUCCUACUUUGGAUCUCCGAGGUUGUCCUGGGUGAAUAAUGCCUCGUAAUACUUGCAAGCUGAAGUGCCUGGGCACAUUUACUCGCCGUGUGAUGUGUAUAGUGGGGUAUCAAACGUUCUGCCUGAGUGGCUUAGAGAAAUUCUGAUAUAUCGCCUCGUUACGCAGUGAUCCACUGUGAUGAAUAAAAAAAAUUUACAUGUUAGACUAUGGAGAUGUCAAUUAGACAUCAAUGAAUAUCAACAGUUCUCUGAGUGGAUCAUCAAUUAUUAAGCACAUCGCUGGCGACCCAGCCGAUGCUGAAAUUCUAUCGAAGAAAACGAUAAUUGGAAGUGAAUUAUACUAAGGUCACGACUAGCCCCUUCUACAGACGCCAACAUUGGACAUCUACUAAAAACUAGAAGUGGAAUUGCACCAUUUCAUUUGUGUCGCUCAAUCCUCGAACGUUCGGAGGUUCCAAGCUUGCAGCAAUGUGCUUGAGCGCACUGGAGCGGCAGUGUGAUUACAACGACUUUUACUGGCGUCGUGAGAACAUCAGUACCAGAAGACAAGUAUUGCAUGGAGCAUUAGAACUUUCGCUACGAGGCGCUGCUCUCACAUAGUUUGGGCAUUGUCGUAGGUGUAGCCGUGGACUGGAACUUUUUGGAUUUAGAUUCGUCCCCUAAAUAACACCUUGUUAGCUCUCGCGAUCUUUGAUACGUUUAGCGGUUGCGUUCCUUAAUUGCAUAAUUGAACUGUGCUCCAGUUGCAAGCAAGUUGGCCCUAUGAGUGCCAACUUCCUAGAACGAGGGAACUUGAUAAUUCUGCCACUGAAAAGAGUGGUUAGGCCAUAACUUCCCUUUUAGUGUGUGAACUGCUGUGAAACUGUUUCGGCAGAAGAUUUACCUUGUAAUUGUCUUUGUGAUGCUUACUAAUUUGUUGCACCUG